AUCCUCUGUUCCCUCUUCCCAUCAGAGCUCAACUCUUCUUGGUAGGAAGGGAGGAAGAGUAAUGCUCAAGCUGGUCUUACAGGGUUGUUGUUUGGUUCAUAGCAGGUGGGUAAGAUUUAAACAUGG
rnacentral:snoRNA from 1 species